CCGUGCGAAGGUAGCGCAAUCACUUGUCUCUUAAAUGGGGACCUGUAUGAAUGGCAUAACGAGGGCUUGACUGUCUCCUCUUUCAAGUCAAUGAAAUUGAUCUCCCCGUGCAGAAGCGGGGAUUACCACAUUAGAACGAGAGACCCUAUGGAGCUUCAGACACUAAAGCAGACCAGCAUUAAUACCCUGAACAUAGGGCACGAAUCAACUGAUCCCUGCCCUAAUGUCUUUGGUUGGGGCGACCGCGGAGAAACACAAAACCCCCGCAAGGACCGAAUGUACUACAUUCACAACCAAGAGCGACAGCUCUAUUUACCAGAACUUCUGACCAAUAAGAUCCGGCAAUGCCGAUUAAUGAACCGAGUUACCCUAGGAUAACAGCGCAAUCUCCUCUUAGAGCCCAUAUCGGCCCAGGAGGUUUACGAACUCGAUGUUAGAUCAGACAUCCUAAUGGUGCAGCCGCUAUUAAAGGGUUCGUUUGUUCAACGAUUA
rnacentral:rRNA from 1 species